AUCUACAGCCAUACCACCACCCUGAAUGCACCCAAUCUCCUCAGAUCUCAGAAAUUAAGCAGGGCCAAGCCUUGUUCGUUCUACGAUGGGAGACUGCCUGGGAAUAUUAUGUGAUGUAGGCU
rnacentral:rRNA from 1 species